rnacentral:rRNA from 1 species
GUGCCGGCCGCCGCGGUAAUACCGGCAGCACGAGUGAUGGCCGAUUUUAUUGGGCCUAAAGCGUCCGUAGCUUGCUGUGUAAGUCCAUUGGGAAAUCCACGCGCUCAACGCGUGGGCGUCCGGUGGAAACUGCACGGCUUGGGGCCGAGAGACUCGACGGGUACGUCCGGGGUAGGAGUGAAAUCCUAUAAUCCUGGACGGACCACCAAUGGGGAAACCACGUCGAGAGACCGGACCCGACAGUGAGGGACGAAAGCCAGGGUCUCGAACCGGAUUAGAAACCCGAGUAGUCC